rnacentral:rRNA from 1 species
CAGUAGCCGCGGGAAUACGAAGGGGGCUAGCGUUGCUCGGAAUCACUGGGCGUAAAGGGUGCGUAGGCGGGUCUUUAAGUCAGGGGUGAAAUCCUGGAGCUCAACUCCAGAACUGCCUUUGAUACUGAAGAUCUUGAGUUCGGGAGAGGUGAGUGGAACUGCGAGUGUAGAGGUGAAAUUCGUAGAUAAUCGCAAGAACACCAGUGGCGAAGGCGGCUCACUGGCCCGAUACUGACGCUGAGGCACGAAAGCGUGGGGAGCAAACAGGAUUAGAGACCCCAGUAGUCCCUGUCUCUUAUAC